UUGUCCUUUGCUGAUAAUUAUAGCGAGUUAUUUGAAGAGAUUCACGGUUCUUUGGAAGCACAAAAUCAGAAAUAUAAACAACUUGCUGAUUGCAAAAGGAGGCCAAAAUCAUUCCAAACUGGUGAUAAGGUGAUGGUCUACCUCCGAAAAGAGAGGCUGCCUUUAGGUGUUAAAGGGAAACUUAGGCAGCGAAGGUAUGGACCCUUCUCUGUCGCGAGGAAGAUAAAUGAUAAUGCUUAUGUGAUAGAUCUUCCAAGCGAUAUGGGUAUCUCCAACACUUUCAAUGUUGCAGACUUGACUCUCUACCAUCCAGAAAAAGCGCUCUAUGAAGAUAACUCGAUGGCGAGUUCCAAACAACCAGGGGAGAAUGAUGAGGAACAAUAG
rnacentral:rRNA from 1 species